UACGGGGGGGGGCAAGCGUUGUUCGGAAUUACUGGGCGUAAAGCGCACGUAGGCGGCUCUGAAAGUUGGAUGUGAAAUCCCUCGGCUCAACCAAGGAAGUGCAUCCAAAAACUGCAGAGCUUGAGUACUUAAGAGGAUCGCGGAAUUCCCGGUGUAGAGGUGAAAUUCGUAGAUAUCGGGAGGAACACCAGUGGCGAAGGCGGCGAUCUGGGAAGAUACUGACGCUGAGGUGCGAAAGCGUGGGGAGCAAACAGG
rnacentral:rRNA from 1 species